rnacentral:rRNA from 1 species
GACAGAGGGUGCAAACGUUGUUCGGAAUUACUGGGCGUAAAGCGUGUGUAGGCGGCUACGCAAGUCGGAUGUGAAAGCCCCGGGCUCAACCCGGGAAGUGCACCCGAAACUGCGUGGCUUGAGUACCGGAGAGGUUGGUGGAAUUCUCGGUGUAGAGGUGAAAUUCGUAGAUAUCGAGAGGAACACCGGUGGCGAAGGCGGCCAACUGGACGAGUACUGACGCUCAGACUCGAAAGCGUGGGGAGCGAAACGG